rnacentral:lncRNA from 1 species
UCAGAAAUGGUCAUGGAAGAAAAAUCAAAAAACAUGACUAGCAAACUUUAAAAAAAAAUAAAAAAAUAAAAAAUAAACUAUUGCUUCUUUUAUCUCACCAAGGCCUUUCUGCAGCUGGGGAAAUGAUUAAGAAGGCUCUGUAGAACAGAAAAUCUGAGAAAUCCUGUAAAAUUCAAUUUUAUUAUUUUAGAGGUUUCUGAGCAGUUAUGUAGUCCUUUUGAAGCUCAAUUAUAAUUCAUCAGGAGGAGGCAAAGGAGAAAGAUUUUAAAUCUUCCUUGGAAAUAGGAGUUACAGAGGGACUGGAUAUAGAAUAAAGAUAAUGAGAUCUUUCUGUCCCUUAUAUAGCCAGUGAAGAUGCUUCAUGUAAUUCUUAAAUGAGUACUUAGUUCUAACAUAUUUUAGAUAAAGUUCCCCAAAUUUCUCAUUUGUAAAACCACUCUGAGUUUUCAUGGAAGAAAAAACAGCAACAACAAUGACGACUUAUUCAAAACAAAAUUAAAAGAACCUAAGAAACUGUGGGCAUCAUUUCAGUGAUACGUGCUUCCAUUUAUAGUGUUUCCUUUGAGGAUCUCAGCAGACAUGAAUCGAACUUCACAAUGACUAUGUCAAAUAUUUUGGAUUAUUUCUAGAACAAUCACAACUAUUUGCAGUCAGAAAAUACUGAUUUGUCAAAAAGAGAAUAAUGUCUUACUCUGCUGGUCUUUGUAAAGAUUUGUCUUGAUAACAUGGCAUGUGUUGGACUGAUAAAAUUCAUGUUUUGACUUUUCCAGCUGUCAAAUAAUAUUAUAUCCCGAUACAGAAUAUGUAGGAAUGAUGGAAGUUCAACAGAGGAAUCCUAGAAUCCAUUUUUACACCAGUAAAAGCUGAAGGGAAGCUCAAACAUUGUGAAGUCUAAUGCUGUUCAUGGAACAUUUCAGAUUACUGAGUGUUUUGUCCAAGUGCAGCCUAAAAUUCUGAAGUACCAGCACUUCUGCCUUCUGCUUCAUAAAAUGAGUUAGAUAAACCUCAUAGUCAGGAUGCGUCUC